AUGCUACCCAGCCUAAAACAGCAGCCUACUCUACCAAAUUAACCAAUCGGCCCCAACCCAAACACCGAAGGACCUGACCCAUUCCCAAAUAGCAUAGCUAUUUUUUCUCUUUACCUCUUCAUCACAGAAAAACCCAAACUUAACCCGUAAAACAAAACUUUAGAAAUGACUUCAAUAUCAACUAUAACCUUCGGGCUGAUGGACAAGUACAAAUUCAUUGGAUAAUCACCUUUUAUCUCUUUUGUCUCUUUGUUAGAGCAAAGCAAACCCGAGGCUCUGAAUAUUCAGGGAAGAGAUGGAAAAAUUUGAGGAUCCAUUAGGUUCAAGGUAGUAUCCCAAUUUGAUUCGAUGGCUGCAGAGCUUCAUCUGAUGGGCAUAUGCUCAGUAGCCUUUAAUCUAUCACUUUUCCUUCAAAUCCACUGAAAAAAGUGAACUUUUUCCCUCCUUUAUUUCUUUUCAUCCAUCAAUCCCUCUGAAAUCUGGUUGCUCAAGAAUUAAAAAGUUUAAAAAGUUUUAAAGCUUCUUUGAGAACGAUUGAUAUUUCGCCUAUAAAAAGGGGCCUUGUUCAACCCUUUCAUGGAUAAGUGAAGUGAUAGAGAAUUUAGGGAAUAUAUUGAGUUCAUUCAUACUCAUCCAUUCACUAGCUUCUCUAUUAUCUCUUUCUUCCUUUCAUUCAAUCUCUAACAAAAUUUUACCGCCCUCAUUGUUUAAUUCCAACACUUGAAGUCAAAAUUACUGGUGAAGAACCUAUUCGACUCACCGUUUCUGAUUCACCGCCCAGAAAAAGGAUAUAAAAGCUUCAAAUCAAGUGGAAACAUCACAAAACGGCUUAGAAUGGAUCAACAAAAGCACAAGACAUAAUUUGACAUCAAACGGACACCUUGAAUGUCCAGGGGGCGUGGAGGACCUUGGGAUUGAUGAAUGGAUACAUUCCAUACACCAAAAGAUUCAUAAGGCACCCAAAUAAUGAACCAAUUCAAAUUAGGUCCGACACACCACUACUUCAACGUGAUAACCAAUAUGGCGCAUCGUUGUUCCCACAGACAAUAAAUUGCCUACUACUAUAAAUAGGAUUUGUCACUUUUGCAAAUCACUUAUGAGUUAUUAUUGGACUACAGGAGGCUACUGCACUUCUUUUUUAGGGUUUAUUAUCUCCUUACUACAUCUUUUUAAUGGAUCAUAACAUGUAUUCAAUUAUAUUGUAUUACGGUUAUGUCGAUUAGCGGCUUAACGCCCUCUUUCCGGGGUUAAGGCCAAGACCAUGACUACUUUCAUUUUGAAUUAAUUUUGUUGAAUUGAUUAUCAUUAUGGUUGUUUA